rnacentral:rRNA from 1 species
UACGUAGGCAGCGAGCGUUGUUCGGAAUUACUGGGCGUAAAGAGUGUGUAGGCGGUGUUCCCAGUCUGUUGUGAAAUCUCCCGGCUUAACUGGGAGGGUGCAGCGGAAACUAGAAUGCUAGAGGGUGGGAGAGGUAAGCGGAAUUCCUGGUGUAGCGGUGAAAUGCGCAGAUAUCGGGAGGAACACCGGUGGCGAAGGCGGUUCUCUGGGCCUGUACUGACGCUGAGGAGCGAAAGCGUGGGGAGCGAACAGG